rnacentral:rRNA from 1 species
UACGAAGGGGGCUAGCGUUGCUCGGAAUCACUGGGCGUAAAGGGCGCGUAGGCGGCGUUUUAAGUCGGGGGUGAAAGCCUGCGGCUCAACCACAGAAUGGCCUUCGAUACUGGGACGCUUGAGUAUGGUAGAGGUUGGUGGAACUGCGAGUGUAGAGGUGAAAUUCGUAGAUAUUCGCAAGAACACCGGUGGCGAAGGCGGCCAACUGGACCAUUACUGACGCUGAGGCGCGAAAGCGUGGGGAGCAAACAGG